UGGGGAAUCUUCCGCAAUGGGCGAAAGCCUGACGGAGCAACGCCGCGUGAGUGAAGAAGGCCUUCGGGUCGUAAAGCUCUGUCUUUAGGGACGAAAAGGCAGGAGAGUAAUAUGCUCUUGUUGUGACGGUACCUGAGGAGGAAGCCACGGCUAACUACGUGCCAGCAGCCGCGGUAAUACGUAGGUGGCGAGCGUUGUCCGGAUUUACUGGGCGUAAAGGGAGCGUAGGCGGACUUUUAAGUGAGAUGUGAAAUACCCGGGCUCAACUUGGGUGCUGCAUUUCAAACUGGAAGUCUAGAGUGCAGGAGAGGAGAAUGGAAUUCCUAGUGUAGCGGUGAAAUGCGUAGAGAUUAGGAAGAACACCAGUGGCGAAGGCGAUUCUCUGGACUGUAACUGACGCUGAGGCUCGAAAGCGUGGGGAGCAAACA
rnacentral:rRNA from 1 species